rnacentral:rRNA from 1 species
AGUGAACGCUGGCGGUAGGCCUAACACAUGCCAGUCGAACGGCAGCACAGUAAGAGCUUGCUCUUACGGGUGGCGAGUGGCGGACGAGUGAGGAAUACAUCGGAAUCUACUUUUUCGUGGGGGAUAACGUAGGGAAACUUACGCUAAUACCGCAUACGACCUACGGGUGAAAGCAGGGGAUCUUCGGACCUUGCGCGAUUGAAUGAGCCGAUGUCGGAUUAGCUAGUUGGCGGGGUAAAGGCCCACCAAGGCGACGAUCCGUAGCUGGUCUGAGAGGAUGAUCAGCCACACUGGAACUGAGACACGGUCCAGACUCCUACGGGAGGCAGCAGUGGGGAAUACUGGACAAUGGGCGCAAGCCUGAUCCAGCCAUACCGCGUGGGUGAAGAAGGCCUUCGGGUUGUAAAGCCCUUUUGUUGGGAAAGAAAAGCAGCAGGUUAAUACCCCGCUGUUCUGACGGUACCCAAAGAAUAAGCACCGGCUAACUUCGUG